CCUACUCCUAGAAGUUUUGCACGUGUGACUGAUGUGUCUCAAGUGUACCAGUGGGAAGUAGAGAGGACAGAGGCUAUAUCUAUGCUCAGUGUUCUGACUGAAUGAUGUUCAUCUGAAUGAUUAGCAUUCCCUGAUA